GAUGAACGCUAGCGGCAGGCCUAACACAUGCAAGUCGAGGGGCAGCACGUCUUCGGAUGGUGGCGACCGGCGCACGGGUGCGUAACGCGUAUGCAACCUACCUCUUACAGUGGGAUAGCCCAGAGAAAUUUGGAUUAAUACCGCAUAGUAUACAGAUUCAGCAUUGGGACUGUAUUAAACAUUUAUGGGUAAGAGAUGGGCAUGCGUUCUAUUAGUUAGUUGGAGUGGUAACGGCACCCCAAGACAGCGAUAGAUAGGGCCCGUCGAGAGGGGGAGUCCCCACCACUGGUACUGAGACACGGACCAGACUCCUACGGGAGGCAGCAGUGAGGAAUAUUGGACAAUGGGCGGAGA
rnacentral:rRNA from 1 species